CGGGGCUCGGAGGGGACUGUCGUUUGACGAGUCUUUCCAGUUCCCAUGGAAUUUGUGUUGACUCUUUCAGCCCUAGAGACACAUGCUGCCACCAGCCCAGUUUAAACUGAGAGGGCGGGGAGGUUCAGCCGCUUCUCCGAUGGGCUCAGCGGUCACGAGCGUGGGUUUCCUGGACGGCCGGGUCUGAAGACAAGUCCUGGGUCUGCUACUGACGAUGUGACACUCUGAAUAAGUCAUUUCCCCCAUCCUGAGACUUCAUUUCCUCAUCUGCUAAGUGGGAAUGAUGAUAUCUGCUUCAUAGGAUCGCAAGACAGGGGAAGGGAGAAAGAAACACUGAUGCAGAGAGAAGCACAGAUUGGCCGCCUUCCCAUACACGCCCUGCCCGGGUUCAGCACUGUGACCUUUCAGUUUACAGGACGCUCCAACCAUCUGAGCCACACAGGCCGAAGCAAAAAUAAGUAUUUUAAAUAAAAAGGCAGAGAAAAAAUCAUAAAGAAAAAGUUUUGUCUGUAAACACUCCAAAUGU